rnacentral:rRNA from 1 species
GAGAAAGUAAGCAAGGGCAGACGGUGGAUGCCUUGGCUCUCGGAGGCGACGAAGGACGUGAUAAGCUGCGAAAAGCUCGGGGGAGGCGCAAAUAGCCGUUGAUCCCGGGAUAUCCGAAUGGGGCAACCCGGCAGGCUGAAGGCCUGCCAUCCCGUAAGGGAGGCGAACGUGGGGAACUGAAACAUCUAAGUACCCAUAGGAGGAGAAAAUAAACAAUGAUUCCGUAAGUAGUGGCGAGCGAACACGGAAGAGCCCAAACCCGUGCCGUCUAGGCGACACGGGGGUUGUAGGACCACGACGUGGCAAGAUAGAGUCAAGUGGAACGCCUUGGAAAAGGCGGUCAUAGAGGGUGAAAACCCCGUACACGACUGACGAUUGAAGCCUAGUGGCAUCCUGAGUAGCGCGGGGCACGAGAAAUCUUGCGUGAAACAGCGGGGCCCAUCCCGUAAGGCUAAAUACUCCCGAGAGACCGAUAGCGAACCAGUACCGUGAGGGAAAGGUGAAAAGAACCCCGAGCAGGGGAGUGAAAUAGACCCUGAACCCGUCUGCCUACAAGCGGUCGGAGCAUAGCAA